rnacentral:rRNA from 1 species
GACGAACGCUGGCGGCGUGCUUAACACAUGCAAGUCGAACGGAAAGGCCCUGCUUUUGUGGGGUGCUCGAGUGGCGAACGGGUGAGUAACACGUGAGUAACCUGCCCUUGACUUUGGGAUAACUUCAGGAAACUGGGGCUAAUACCGGAUAGGAGCUCCUGCUGCAUGGUGGGGGUUGGAAAGUUUCGGCGGUUGGGGAUGGACUCGCGGCUUAUCAGCUUGUUGGUGGGGUAGUGGCUUACCAAGGCUUUGACGGGUAGCCGGCCUGAGAGGGUGACCGGCCACAUUGGGACUGAGGUACGGCACAGACUCCUACGGGAGGCAGCAGUGGGGAAUAUUGCACAAUGGGCGGAAGCCUGAUGCAGCAACGCCGCGUGCGGGAUGACGGCCUUCGGGUUGUAAACCGCUUUAGCCUGUGACGAAGCGUGAGUGACGGUAAUGGGUAAAGAAGCAACGGCUAACUACGUG